UAGGGAAUCUUCCACAAUGGACGCAAGUCUGAUGGAGCAACGCCGCGUGAGUGAAGAAGGGUUUCGGCUCGUAAAGCUCUGUUGGUAGUGAAGAAAGAUAGAGGUAGUAACUGGCCUUUAUUUGACGGUAAUUACUUAGAAAGUCACGGCUAACUACGUGCCAGCAGCCGCGGUAAUACGUAGGUGGCAAGCGUUGUCCGGAUUUAUUGGGCGUAAAGCGAGUGCAGGCGGUUCAAUAAGUCUGAUGUGAAAGCCUUCGGCUCAACCGGAGAAUUGCAUCAGAAACUGUUGAACUUGAGUGCAGAAGAGGAGAGUGGAACUCCAUGUGUAGCGGUGGAAUGCGUAGAUAUAUGGAAGAACACCAGUGGCGAAGGCGGCUCUCUGGUCUGCAACUGACGCUGAGGCUCGAAAGCAUGGGUAGCGAACAGGAUUAGAUACCCUGGUAGUCCAUGCCGUAAACGAUGAGUGCUAAGUGUUGGGAGGUUUCCGCCUCUCAGUGCUGCAGCUAACGCAUUAAGCACUCCGCCUGGGGAGUACGACCGCAAGGUUGA
rnacentral:rRNA from 1 species